rnacentral:rRNA from 1 species
CCUACGGGAGGCAGCAGUGAGGAAUAUUGGUCAAUGGACGAGAGUCUGAACCAGCCAAGUAGCGUGAAGGAUGACUGCCCUAUGGGUUGUAAACUUCUUUUAUAUGGGAAUAAAACGUUCCACGUGUGGGAUUUUGUAUGUACCAUAUGAAUAAGGAUAGGCUAACUCCGUGCCAGCAGCCGCGGUAAUACGGAGGAUCCGAGCGUUAUCCGGAUUUAUUGGGUUUAAAGGGAGCGUAGGUGGAUUGUUAAGUCAGUUGUGAAAGUUUGCGGCUCAACCGUAAAAUUGCAGUUGAAACUGGCAGUCUUGAGUACAGUAGAGGUGGGCGGAAUUCGUGGUGUAGCGGUGAAAUGCGUAGAUAUCACGAAGAACUCCGAUUGCGAAGGCAGUUCACUGGACUGCAACUGACACUGAGGCGCGAAAGUGUGGGUAUCAAACAGGAUUAGAUACCCCGGUAGUC